rnacentral:rRNA from 1 species
UAGGGGAAUCUUCCACAAUGGGCGAAAGCCUGAUGGAGCAACGCCGCGUGUGUGAUGAAGGGUUUCGGCUCGUAAAACACUGUUGUAAGAGAAGAAUGACAUUGAGAGUAACUGUUCAAUGUGUGACGGUAUCUUACCAGAAAGGAACGGCUAAAUACGUGCCAG